rnacentral:rRNA from 1 species
CGGGAAUCUUCCACAAUGGACGAAAGUCUGAUGGAGCAAUGCCGCGUGAGUGAAGAAGGGUUUCGGCUCGUAAAACUCUGUUGUUAAAGAAGAACACCUUUGAGAGUAACUGUUCAAGGGUUGACGGUAUUUAACCAGAAAGCCACGGCUAACUACGUGCCAGCAGCCGCGGUAAUACGUAGGUGGCAAGCGUUGUCCGGAUUUAUUGGGCGUAAAGCGAGCGCAGGCGGUUUUUUAAGUCUGAUGUGAAAGCCUUCGGCUUAACCGGAGAAGUGCAUCGGAAACUGGGAGACUUGAGUGCAGAAGAGGACAGUGGAACUCCAUGUGUAGCGGUGGAAUGCGUAGAUAUAUGGAAGAACACCAGUGGCGAAGGCGGCUGUCUAGUCUGUAACUGACGCUGAGGCUCGAAAGCAUGGGUAGCGAAC